GAUGAACGCUGGCGGCGUGCCUAACACAUGCCAGUCGAGCGAAGCGCUUAAAUUAGUUUUCUUCGGACUGUCGCUUUUUGUGACUGAGCGGCGGACGGGUGAGUAACGUGUGGGUAACCUGCCUCAUCCAGGGGGCUAACCGAUAGCCAUGACUGCUAAUACCGCAUAAGACCCCAGCUUCGCAUGAAGCGUUGGUAAAAACUCCGGUGGUAUCGGAUGGACCCGCGCCGGUUUAGCAAGUUGGUAAGGUAACGGGUUACCAAGGCGACGACCCGUAGACGGGCAGAGAGGGUGAGCGGCCACAUUGGGGGGGAGACACAGCACAGACUCUUACGGGAGGGAGGAAUGGGGGAUAGUGCAACAUGGGGGGAACGCUGAUGCAGCGAGGCCGGGUGAAGGAUGAAGUAAGGCGGUAAGUAAUCUGCAAUCAGCAGGGAAGAAAGUGACGGUACCUGACUAAGAAGCCCCGGCUAACUACGUG
rnacentral:rRNA from 1 species